rnacentral:rRNA from 1 species
GUAUACUACGUCCAUGGACUGAGACACGGUCCAGACUCCUACGGGAGGCAGCAGUAGGGAAUAUUGCUCAAUGGGGGAAACCCUGAAGCAGCAACGCCGCGUGGAGGAUGAAGGUUUUAGGAUUGUAAACUCCUUUUGUUAGAGAAGAUAAUGACGGUAUCUAACGAAUAAGCACCGGCUAACUCCGUGCCAGCAGCCGCGGUAAUACGGAGGGUGCAAGCGUUACUCGGAAUCACUGGGCGUAAAGAGCGCGUAGGCGGGAUAGUCAGUCAGGUGUGAAAUCCUAUGGCUUAACCAUAGAACUGCAUUUGAAACUACUAUUCUAGAGUGUGGGAGAGGUAGGUGGAAUAUAA